rnacentral:misc_RNA from 1 species
UCCGAGUUGACCCCGGCAGUCUCCUAUGAGUCCCCGGCCGAACCGCUGGCAACAUAGAACGAGGGUUGCGCUCGUUGCGGGACUUAACCCAACAUCUCACGACACGAGCUGACGACAACCAUGCACCACCUGUGAACCGGCCCCAAAAGGGGAAAGACUGUUUCCAGCCCGGACCGGCCCAUGUCAAGCCUUGGUAAGGUUCUUCGCGUUGCAUCGAAUUAAUCCGCAUGCUCCGCCGCUUGUGCGGGCCCCCGUCAAUUCCUUUGAGUUUUAACCUUGCGGCCGUACUCCCCAGGCGGAGUGCUUAACGCGUUAGCUGCGCCACCGAUGAGCAAGCUCACCGACGGCUAGCACCCAUAGUUUACGGCGUGGACUAC